rnacentral:rRNA from 1 species
UACGUAGGUCCCGAGCGUUGUCCGGAUUUAUUGGGCGUAAAGCGAGCGCAGGUUGUUUAAUAAGUCUGAUGUAAAAGGCAGUGGCUCAACCAUUGUGUGCAUUGGAAACUGUUAGACUUGAGUGCAGUAGAGGAGAGUGGAAUUCCAUGUGUAGCGGUGAAAUGCGUAGAUAUAUGGAGGAACACCGGUGGCGAAAGCGGCUCUCUGGACUGUAACUGACACUGAGGCUCGAAAGCGUGGGUAGCAAACAGG